rnacentral:rRNA from 1 species
CCUACGGGUGGCAGCAGUGGGGAAUAUUGCACAAUGGGGGCAACCCUGAUGCAGCAACGCCGCGUGGGUGAAGAAGUACUUCGGUAUGUAAAGCACUGUCAGCAGGGAAGAAAAUGAUGGUACCUGACCAAGAAGCCCCGGCUAACUACGUCCCAGCAGCCGCGGUAAUACGUAGGGGGCAAGCGUUAUCCGGAUGUACUGGGUGUAAAGGGAGCGUAGACGGCUAGGCAAGUCUGAAGUGAAAGCCCGUGGCUCAACCACGGGACUGCUUUGGAAACUGUGUUGCUGGAGUGCAGGAGGGGUAAGCGGAAUUCCUGGUGUAGCGGUGAAAUGCGUAGAUAUUAGGAGGAACACCGGUGGCGAAGGCGGCUUACUGGACUGUAACUGACGUUGAGGCGCGAAGGCGUGGGGAGCAAACAGGAUUAGAUACCCUUGUAGUC